UACAUGUGGGGCAAGCGUUGUUCGGAAUUACUGGGCAUAAAGGGUGCGUAGGCGGCUUGUUAAGUCAUUGGUGAAAGUCUCCGGCCCAACCGGGGAAUGGCCUGUGAUACUGGCGAGCUGGAGUGCGUGAGGGGUCGGGGGAACGAGCAGUGUAGCGGUGAAAUGCGUAGAUAUUGCUCGGAAGGCCAGAGCCGAAGGGGCCCGACUGGUACGUAACUGACGCUGAGGCACGAAAGCGUGGGGAGCAAACAGG
rnacentral:rRNA from 1 species